AUGGAACAUUGGCUGUGGAUUCUUCUUGCUGCUCUUUUCUUUGAGUGUAAAGGAGAAGACAAAGUGAUCCAACCAGGAGGAGAAGUCAUUGCUGCUGAAGGAGACUCUGUCACUCUCAACUGUACCUUUGAGACCAGUUCCACUACCACCCCGUAUUUGUUCUGGUACAAACACGAAGUGAACAGUUACCCAAAGUACAUGUUGAAACGUGACACAUAUGGAACAAAAGACAAUUCUCCAGAGUUCAAGAAAGACAGAUUUAAUGCUGAAGUCAAAGACAAAUCAGUUCCUCUGAAGAUCCAGAAGCUUCAUGUGUCAGACUCUGCUGUGUACUACUGUGCUCUGCGGCCCACAGUGACAGGAAGCAACAAAACUCUGUACAAAAACCUGCAGAGAAGAGACAAGGCAAUUCUCUAUAACAACCUCUAUAGGCCCUGGUCAUCUCAGGGCAUCAUGUACCGACCGUCCCACCCGGGCGAUCGGGUGGGCUGGUGA